GGGAGGCUGCGUCGUCCUAUCACAGUUUGUCUUCUCCUGAGGAAGUGGAUGCCAUGUGUCACUUUGCAGAUGGAUCAAGUGCAGGAGGUGCCUGUUGGAGACGCAGAGCUCUGCAGCAGCAGGUGAGCUGAUGCUGCAACCUGCUAAACGCCGCUCCUGCGGAGCGCCAGGGCCCAGAGUGCACAUGGCUCUCAGGCUCCGUGAAAAGCUUGCAGUGAGCUCAGCCACUGAAAAGUCACUACGAAGAUGGAAAGCAAAAUGAAAACCGAGUCCUCGGUACCCUAUGUUUAUCUGUCUCUAAGAGAACAUCCUUGGGUUUAUUUAUGAUUUGAGUACUUCAUAAGAAAAGUAGUAUAAAAUAGAAAAUAAUGUGUUGAUGUCCUAUAUAAGUGAAUCUACUCAAUACAAUUUAUAAAGCA
ensembl:lncRNA novel transcript